rnacentral:rRNA from 1 species
AUUGAACGCUGGCGGCAUGCCUUACACAUGCACGUCGAACGGUAACAGGUUAAGCUGACGAGUGGAGAACGGGUGAGUAAUAUAUCGGAACGUGCCCAGUCGUGGGGGAUAACUGCUCGAAAGAGCAGCUAAUACCGCAUACGACCUGAGCGUGAAAGCGGGGGAUCGCAAGACGUCGCGCGAUUGGAGCGGCCGAUAUCAGAUUAGGUAGUUGGUGGGGUAAAGGCCCACCAAGCCUACGAUCUGUAGCUGGUCUGAGAGGACGACCAGCCACACUGGGACUGAGACACGGCCCAGACUCCUACGGGAGGCAGCAGUGGGAAUUUUUGACAAUGGACGCAAGUCUGAUCCAGCCAUGCCGCGUGCGGGAAGAAGGCCUUCGGGUUGUAAACCGCUUUUGUCAGGGAAGAAAAGGUUCUGGUUAAUACCUGGGACUCAUGACGGUACCUGAAGAAUAAGCACCGGCUAACUACGUGCCAGCAGCCGCAGUAACAC